rnacentral:rRNA from 1 species
AGAUUAAGUUAUUAAGGGCGCACGGUGGAUGCCUUGGCACUAGAAGCCGACGAAGGACGUUACUAACGACGAUAUGCUUUGGGGAGCUGUAAGUAAGCUUUGAUCCAGAGAUUUCCGAAUGGGGAAACCCAGCACGAGUUAUGUCGUGUUAUCGAUAUGUGAAUACAUAGCAUAUCUGAAGGCAGACGCGGAGAACUGAAACAUCUUAGUACCCGCAGGAAGAGAAAGAAAAAUCGAUUCCCUGAGUAGCGGCGAGCGAAACGGGAAGAGCCCAAACCAACGAGCUUGCUUGUUGGGGUUGUAGGACACUCUAUACGGAGUUACAAAAGAACAGACUAGACGAAUCAUCUGGAAAGAUGAAUCAAAGAAGGUAAUAAUCCUGUAGUCGAAAGUUUGUUCACUCUUGAGUGGAUCCUGAGUACGACGGAACACGAGAAAUUCCGUCGGAAUCUGGGAGGACCAUCUCCCAAGGCUAAAUACUCUCUAGUGACCGAUAGUGAACCAGUACCGUGAGGGAAAGGUGAAAAGUACCCCGGAAGGGGAGUGAAAUAGAACUUGAAACCGUGUGCUUACAAGUAGUCAGAGCCCGUUAAUGGGUGAUGGCGUGCCUUUUGUAGAAUGAACCGGCGAGUUACGAUUUGAUGCAAGGUUAAGCAGUGAAUGUGGAGCCGUAGCGAAAGCGAGUCUGAAUAGGGCGUUGAGUAUUUGGUCGUAGACCCGAAACCAGGUGAUCUACCCAUGACCAGGUUGAAGUUCAGGUAACACUGAAUGGAGGACCGAACCGACUUACGUUGAAAAGUGAGCGGAUGAGUUGUGGGUAGCGGAGAAAUUCCAAUCGAACCUGGAGAUAGCUGGUUCUCUCCGAAAUAGCUUUAGGGCUAGCCUCAAGUGAUGAUUAUUGGAGGUAGAGCACUGUUUGGACGAGGGGCCCUUAUCGGGUUACCGAAUUCAGACAAACUCCGAAUGCCAAUCAAUUUAACUUGGGAGUCAGAACGCGGGUGAUAAGGUCCGUGUUCGAAAGGGAAACAGCCCAGACCACCAGCUAAGGUCCCAAAAUAUAUGUUAAGUGGAAAAGGAUGUGGCGUUGCCCAGACAACUAGGAUGUUGGCUUAGAAGCAGCCAUCAUUUAAAGAGUGCGUAAUAGCUCACUAGUCGAGUGACACUGCGCCGAAAAUGUACCGGGGCUAAACAUAUUACCGAAGCUGUGGAUUGUCCGUAAGGACAAUGGUAGGAGAGCGUUCUAAGGGCGUUGAAGCAUGAUCGCAAGGACAUGUGGAGCGCUUAGAAGUGAGAAUGCCGGUGUGAGUAGCGAAAGACGGGUGAGAAUCCCGUCCACCGAUUGACUAAGGUUUCCAGAGGAAGGCUCGUCCGCUCUGGGUUAGUCGGGUCCUAAGCUGAGGCCGAUAGGCGUAGGCGAUGGAUAACAGGUUGAUAUUCCUGUACCACCAUUAUUCGUUUUAAGCGAUGGGGGGACGCAGUAGGAUAGGCGAAGCGUACGAUUGGAUUGUACGUCCAAGCAGUGAGAUUGAGUGUUAGGCAAAUCCGGCACUCUUAAGAUUGAGCUGUGAUGGGGAGAGGAAAUUGUUUCCUUGAGUCGUUGAUUUCACACUGCCAAGAAAAGCCUCUAGCUAGAAUUGUGGUGCCCGUACCGCAAACCGACACAGGUAGUCAAGAUGAGAAUUCUAAGGUGAGCGAGCGAACUCUCGUUAAGGAACUCGGCAAAAUGACCCCGUAACUUCGGGAGAAGGGGUGCUCUUUAGGGUUAACGCCCAGGAGAGCCGCAGUGAAUAGGCCCAAGCGACUGUUUAUCAAAAACACAGGUCUCUGCUAAACCGUAAGGUGAUGUAUAGGGGCUGACGCCUGCCCGGUGCUGGAAGGUUAAGAGGAGUGGUUAGCUUCUGCGAAGCUACGAAUCGAAGCCCCAGUAAACGGCGGCCGUAACUAUAACGGUCCUAAGGUAGCGAAAUUCCUUGUCGGGUAAGUUCCGACCCGCACGAAAGGCGUAACGAUUUGGGCACUGUCUCAACGAGAGACUCGGUGAAAUCAUAGUACCUGUGAAGAUGCAGGUUACCCGCGACAGGACGGAAAGACCCCGUGGAGCUUUACUGUAGUCUGAUAUUGAAAUUCGGCACAGCUUGUACAGGAUAGGUAGGAGCCUGAGAUAUGUGAGCGCUAGCUUACGUGGAGGCGUUGGUGGGAUACUACCCUCGCUGUGUUGGAUUUCUAACCCGCACCAUUUAUCAUGGUGGGAGACAGUGUCAGAUGGGCAGUUUGACUGGGGCGGUCGCCUCCUAAAGAGUAACGGAGGCGCUCAAAGGUUUCCUCAGAAUGGUUGGAAAUCAUUCAUAGAGUGUAAAGGCAUAAGGAAGCUUGACUGCGAGACUUACAAGUCGAGCAGGGUCGAAAGACGGACUUAGUGAUCCGGUGGUUCCGCAUGGAAGGGCCAUCGCUCAACGGAUAAAAGCUACCCCGGGGAUAACAGGCUUAUCUCCCCCAAGAGUUCACAUCGACGGGGAGGUUUGGCACCUCGAUGUCGGCUCAUCGCAUCCUGGGGCUGUAGUCGGUCCCAAGGGUUGGGCUGUUCGCCCAUUAAAGCGGUACGCGAGCUGGGUUCAGAACGUCGUGAGACAGUUCGGUCCCUAUCCGUCGUGGGCGUAGGAAAUUUGAGAGGAGCUGUCCUUAGUACGAGAGGACCGGGAUGGACAUACCUCUGGUGUACCAGUUGUCGUGCCAACGGCAUCGCUGGGUAGCUAUGUAUGGACGGGAUAAGUGCUGAAAGCAUCUAAGCAUGAAGCCCCCCUCAAGAUGAGAUUUCCCAACUUCGGUUAUAAGAUCCCUCAAAGAUGAUGAGGUUAAUAGGUUCGAGGUGGAAGCAUAGCGAUAUGUGCAGCUGACGAAUACUAAUCGAUCGAAGACUUAAUCAAAUUUUA